rnacentral:rRNA from 1 species
GAGUUUGAUCCUGGCUCAGGAUGAACGCUGGCGGCGUGCUUAACACAUGCAAGUCGAACGUGAGGGGUGAUUUCGAUUGCCCUGAAAGUGGCGGACGGGUGAGUAACACGUAGGAACCUGCCCUGGAGCGGGGGAUAACCACGGGAAACUGUGGCUAAUACCGCAUGAACUCGUAGCGACGGGAGUGCGACGAGUAAAAUUCAGGUGCUCUGGGAGGGGCCUGCGGUCGAUUAGCUAGUUGGUGGGGUAAAGGCCUACCAAGGCGAUGAUCGGUAGCUGUUCUGAGAGGAAGACCAGCCACACGGGGACUGAGAGACGGUCCCGACUCCUACGGGGGGCAGCAGUGAGGAAUAUUGCACAAUGGGGGAAACCCUGAUGCAGCAACGCCGCGUGAAGGAAGAAGGCUUUCGAGUUGUAAACUUCUUUUCUGGGGGAAGAGGAAGGACGGUACCCUAGGAAUAAGACACGGCUAACUACGUGCCAGCAGCCGCGGUAAUACGUAGGUGUCGAGCGUUAUCCGGAAUUACUGGGCGUAAAGGGCGCGCAGGCGGCUAUUCAAGUCUGGCGUGAAAGCUCCCGGCUUAACUGGGAGAGGCCGUUGGAAACUGAGUAGCUUGAGGCAAUGAGAGGGAUGCGGAAUUCCCGGUGUAGUGGUGGAAUGCGUAGAUAUCGGGAAGAACACCAGUGGCGAAGGCGGCAUCCUGGCAUUGACCUGACGCUGAGGUGCGAAAGCGUGGGUAGCGAACGGGAUUAGAUACCCCGGUAGUCCACGCUGUAAACGAUGUGAACUAGGUGUAGGUGGUAUUGACCCCAUCUGUGCCGAAGCCAACGCGAUAAGUUCACCGCCUGGGGAGUACGGCCGCAAGGCUAAAACUCAAGGAAUUGACGGGGGCCCGCACAAGCAGCGGAGCGUGUGUUUAUUCGAUGCACGCGAGAUCUUACCUGGGCUGACAUGUACUAGUAGUGACCGAAGGGGACGAGCUUCGGGCAGUAAACAGUGCUGCAUG